rnacentral:rRNA from 1 species
GUAAUACGUAGAGGGCAAGCGUUGUCCGGAAUCACUGGGCGUAAAGGGUACGUAGGCGGAUAUUUAAGUCAAAUGUGAAAUCCAUCGGCUCAACCGGUGAUGUGCAUUUGAAACUGGAUAUCUUGAGUACAGGAGAGGAGAGCGGAAUUCCUGGUGUAGCGGUGGAAUGCGUAGAUAUCAGGAAGAACACCAGUGGCGAAGGCGGCUCUCUGGCCUGAGACUGACGCUGAUGUACCGAAAGCUGGGGGAGCGAACGGGAUUAGAUACCCCGGUAGUCCCAGCCGUAAACGAUGGACACAAGGUGUUGGAGGUUCGAAUCCUUCAGUGCCGCAG